GUGGGGGAACCUGCAAAGGAUUUACUGCACAGCUCACUUCCACUGUGAUUUCAGUAGGUCCCUACCCAUGACUGAAAGUAAACUAUUUGUGUGUAUUCUUUUUGCAUUUCCUUUUAUGGGAGCAUUAACAGUAUAGUGGUGACAGUGAAUAUAAAUAGGGAAUCCCUAAGGGAUUCAUAGAUUUUAAAUCUAUGAAGUCUACUGUAACUGCAGAGUUCUUGAGUUUAAGAAUAAUUUUAACUUAAUUUUACCCUCUCAUCUUACUUACAGAAUUCCCUGUAGAUAUGAUACAUUUAUCAAUGUUUUCCAAUGGCAAGGCAGUCGGUAAAGAGGAAAAAAGGCUAAGUUUGAUUACUAUUGAUUACAGUAAGAAGAAGUGACAAUGUGCUGUCUGAAAGAAAUCUAAGUUUUCUGGAGAAGUGUGAAGCGGUGGUAUUUUUCUUCAAUUAACAGAAUAUAAUUAAUAAACAUCACAUAGUAUUUAUACAUAUUUGAAAAUAUGUAUUUAAGAUUCUAUUUCUUAAGUGUCUUCCAUUAUAAACUUAAAUUUUCCUUAAAUCUGCAAAGACUUGAUGUCAUCUCACUUUGUCAGUUGUUAUCACAAAUACAGUCACAAAACUGAGGAUGCAGAAAAUGCUACAUGGGUUAAUGAAGUAAACCCCAUGAUUAAUUUUGGACUUUGGGUUUUAUUUUUUGCAGUCUUGUCUUAGGGAUUAAAGUCUAUUGCUAGAAUCAUGAGAGCAAGUUUAAACGCAGCGUGUUUCCAUUAUGGUUAAUUAUAAUUCUCUCACUUCCUCAAAUGCUAAUACUGACAGAAAAAUUUAUAUAAAAUUACAAAAAUCUAGUAAAUGAUAUUGGCAGGAUAUUCCUUCUACAACUAAACACAUGCAAACCUUAGAUUAAAAGAUAUUUUGGGACACCUGAUGACUCACUAAGGAGGAGCUGCGAUUGCAAGUUGAAUUUAACAGGUUUGGACACUUAAAAACAUAAGAAACAGAAAUGAUUAAACCCCAUUUUAUUUUUAUACAACCUGUAGGUCUGUCCUUUUAAUUACAUAAAUCACAGGAAAUUUUAAGAAAAAAACUUUUUUGAAGCAGCAGAAACUCAUCAAAAUUAAAGAGUUUUACAAACUUGUGUCAAUUUCAAGAAAAACUUUUGAACAAUUCAAACUGAAAUGGGCUAUAUCACUUCUCACUUUCCUAUUUGGUUACCAAGUUUUCUGUUUCAUUUCACAUUCAGCAUUUUUAUGUGUUGGAUGCAAAUUCAGCAUUAAAGUCAAAGCUUCACUGUAUUCUGUCACAUGCAUCACAUUUGAGUGGAAGAGCGCAGUUUAGUCAUGAUUAAAUUACCAAUAUCUAUCAAUUAAAGAUAGGUUGCUUCCCUAGCAUCGUAUCACAAGGAUAUGUUGUUUGUCUAGCAUUCAAUCCACAAUCCACAGGGCCAGCUGAAUUCCUUUCAUGUGCAACCUACCCUUUUUCACCUGUCCAACUUGGGUGCCCAUACCAGGAACUGAAACUCCUAAUGGCAUAGCAUUUGACACUGGCAGAUCCAGGGGAGGGUUCAGUGAUACAGUUGUACCUCCCCCCGCCCUUUGAUCCCUGCUCCACACAAACUUUAAAACCAUCUUCCUGCAGUGACAUUUCUAUUCAGGCACCACUGAAGGAGUUAAUUUUAUACCAAAUAAUAUAAUGCUAGACCCCUGGCAUAUUCUUAAAACAUCUAGUUUCUCUUCAACUGGAGAAAAAUGUGGGCAUUAUAUGUGACGAUACACCACAUCAUCUGCUCCCCACUUUUCAAAAUCCUGUAUCUGCCCACAAGACCACAUUAGACUUUCCACUUUCCCAAGAGAGGUUGUACAUAAAAAUAAUGUUUCUCUUUAUUGUUUUGGAAAAGUUUUCUUAGGAAAAAAACAAAACUGGAACAUUUUCUUUACAAAGUUUUUGGGAAGAAUUAUGAUGACAAAGGAGUAAUUAUGAAGGAUGUUCUCACACAAACUUCCAAAGCACGAGGAGAUGGUAUUAGGGACAGCAAUCAAGAAAGGGAGAGGAUACACAGCACAUAACAGUGAGGAGGACACAGCUGUCAAGUGACAUCUGAGCCACAAACAUAUUGGCCUUUGCUUUUUUUAAAAAGUUAAUUUGGAGAAACUUAGGGCAUUGGGUACCUAACUCCACUUAAAUUCUUUAAAUUGGAGAAAUUAAAAUGAGAGUUAAACUCCAAAAGGUAAUACUUCCUGCCAAAAGAUCCACCUGUAAUGUUCUUUAACAUCUGGAGCCUAAAGAGCUUGUAAUCAUGCUAAAUAAAUGUCUCAAUACUU